rnacentral:lncRNA from 1 species
GCAUCUUCGACCCUUUAUGAGAGGGUUUUUGGUCUCUUGAGACCUUUAUUUCAUUGUUGGAGAAGAAGAGAUGGUGUCAGAUCAGGGCUAAUUGACUUUGAGAUGGGGUGGGGUUUCAGAUUCCAUUUUUGGCCAAACCUAGCUGUAUUCUAGGGUCGUUGGUUGUGGAUUAUGGAUGGGAAGGUGAGACGGUCACCAGGUUGAGGGGGUUCCGGUGAGUUUAGGGUUUGGUUCAAAUUUCUUUGAGGGACGAGGCCUAGAUGGUUGGGAAGAGGGGAACGAGGCAGUUCAGGGGUGUUAUUUUGGGUCAGUUUGGGGUUAGGGACACUGUAGGCGGUGGAGCGGGCGACUAUUCUUUCGAAUAUUCGACGAUAUGGGGAGGUAUUUGAGGGGAGCUAAUGGUGGGAGGGGAAAUAGGAGGUUUAGAGGAUUUGGUGAUGUAAAUUUUGGGCCAUUUGGUGGCCGGCCGCCGCCGUGAGGUGAUUUCUGGCGGCGGCGUUACGGUGGUUGAGGGAUGGUGUUACAUCGGUGUAGUUAGGUACGAG